rnacentral:lncRNA from 1 species
GAGGAUUUCUGCUCCAUGAAGUCUCUCAGAGAUCCAGGCUGAUACAGAGUUCAUCUUAACAAGUGCUUUCGUAGUCACCACAGCAGUGGGAAAUGAACAUGGAAAUCAUUGAUCAUGGCUCUUAAAGUUUCUGUUCCAAAGUGACACAGCUUGUUCCAUGUGAAGCAACCUUUCUGCUCAGAUAUUCCCUGGCCUGCAAUAGAAGCUCCAGUUUGGGCUUUGGAAACUCAAGUCUCAGAGUUCUUCAGGGAGGCUCUUACAAUUGUGUAGCAUUGGCAGCACACACAAGAAAAUGGACCAAUCUACCAACCACAGACCAGGUGCAACCAUGGAUACCAGGACCAUAAAGUGCCUUUGUCUUGGGGUCACUUCGAGAAAACAUUGUAGAUCCAGGGGCUCUGAGCUGAAGAGGAAAAACCAUCAUAGUGUUCUAGGACUCAUUCUUGGAGCCCAGUCUCCAUACUGUGAGGAAGCCCAAAAGGCACACACUAACAGAACACGUGGAAAAGCUUCAGCCUCGUGUAGAUGUUCUGGUCAACAUCCCAGUUGAUGUCACAGCCAACAGCCUGCAUCAAGUGCCUGACACGUGAGUGAUGACACCUCCAGAUGAUUCCAGCCCCUAGCCAUUGGAUCACCCCCAGCUGUCAAAUCUUCCAGCUGAGGCCCCAGACAUUGUGGGGCAGAG